rnacentral:rRNA from 1 species
AUUGAACGCUGGCGGCAUGCUUAACACGUGCAAGUCGAACGCGAAAGUCCUUCGGGGCGAGUAGAGUGGCGGACGGGUGAGUAACGCGUGGGAAUCUACCCUAGAGCGGGGGACAACCCGGGGAAACCCGGGCUAAUACCGCAUACGUCCUACGGGAGAAAGAGGGCCUCUGCUUGCACGCUCUCACUCCAGGAUGAGCCCACGUCCGAUUAGCUAGUUGGUAGGGUAAAGGCCUACCAAGGCCACGAUCGGUAGCUGGUCUGAGAGGAUGAUCAGCCACACUGGGACUGAGACACGGCCCAGACUCCUACGGGAGGCAGCAGUGGGGAAUAUUGGACAAUGGGCGCAAGCCUGAUCCAGCAAUGCCGCGUGUGUGAAGAAGGCCUGCGGGUUGUAAAAGCACUUUCAGUGGGGAAGAACAGAUUCGGGUCAAUACCCCGGAGCCCUGACGUUACCCACAGAAGAAGCACCGGCUAACUCCGUGCCAGCAGCCGCGGUAAAAGUGUG